rnacentral:tRNA from 1 species
GGUGAGGUGCCUGAGUGGCCGAAAGGAGCAGUUUGCUAAACUGUCGUACGGGUAACACUGUACCGCGGGUUCGAAUCCCGCCCUCACCGCAA